AAGAGACAAAAAAUUUCUACUGCAGUGGCCAAUUGACAAGGUAAUUAUAGCCCCCUGCGAUGGCUUCCAUAUGGCCUGCAUGCAUGCCAUGGGAUUUUGAUUGGUAGGCCACCUUGGCCAAUCAACAACCAAAGAUUUUUGCAUGUUAUCCAAUAAUCACAUGCCUUCUCCUCUCUUUUAAAAGCUACUCUCACACCUUCCUCUCAUUCUUCACACUUCCAUUUUCCUUCUUCAAGCUUGGGCGAGUGUGAUAGAAAGGCUAGAUAGAGAGAGAGAAACAUGAAGACCCAAAUGUCUUUUUCUCCAAAGUAUAACCAUGUUGCCUCUUUUUGACACAGUAAGUCUUCUUCCUUUUUUUCUUCUUGUUGUUUUUUCUUUUGGGUGUUAAGAAGACUCACCCAAAUUUCCUUUCCAUCCCAAUAUGUGUAAGAAAUCUUCGGUGGAAACCAAGUGCAGCAACACAUGAUCAUUCUUCACCAACUCAUGAAACCUUAAUAUUGUUUCUUCAAGAGUACUUGAAACCGUAAUUACUUGUCAUUAUUUUUUU
rnacentral:lncRNA from 1 species